UGCAACCCAUGCCCAUCAAGGUUGCCGGUCGCCGCCUUACUGUACCUAGUAACCUCGCUACUUCAUCAUGCUCGUCCACCGACUGCCUAAGGUGGAUCACCAUCAUUCCACCACUCAAUGCCGUUGACAUCCCCUCCUUUCCAUCCCGAUCGCCUCACCAUCGAUCAACCACCACCGAUCGCCUCACCAUCGAUCAACCACCACC
rnacentral:lncRNA from 1 species